rnacentral:rRNA from 1 species
GGGUUAGUCCGUACGAGCGCCCCCCUUGUCCCAUAAUGCCAGCACGUAAUGCCGGGAACUCUAGGNAGACGGCCGGUGACAAACCGGAGGAAGGUGGGGACACUCAGGUCAUCAUGGCCCUUACGGCCUGGGCUACACACGUGCUACAAGGGGCAGUACANAGGGCANCAAACUCGCGAGGCCAAGCAAAUCCCUUAAAACUGUUCGUAUCCGGAUUGAAGUCUGCAACUCAACUCCUGAAUUCUUCUCUAUUAAUCGCGGAUCAAAUUUUUCGGUGAAUACGUUCCCGGGCCUUGUACACACCGCCCG